CGAGGGUGAUUGUGAAACCAAGAACCUGAAGGUGAUCGUGAGAACACGAAGGGACACAAAGGAUUUAGAUAGAUUCGGGCCUCUAGAGAGUAAUACCCUACGUCCUAUAUUUUGGUGGAUUGUAUUGCUCAAGAUUGAUCUGAUGAUCUUUUGUCCUUAGGGGGAACCCUUGGCUGCCUUAUAUAGUCUAAUGACUAGGUGCUACAAGUCAGUUUGAAUCUAAUCUACUCGGUCUUUACAUGGAAAGAAAUCUAAUUCGGACUAUAAAAUGCGUCCCAAGAUGUCCGGGUAGAUUUGGACAGUCUUGUUGCCUCGUCGUGUACUCCAAGUAACUUCAUAUCUUUGG
rnacentral:lncRNA from 1 species